rnacentral:rRNA from 1 species
GACGAACGCUGGCGGCGUGCUUAACACAUGCAAGUCGAACGGAAAGGCCCUGCUUUUGUGGGGUGCUCGAGUGGCGAACGCGUGAGUAACACGUGAGUAACCUGCCCUUGACUUUGGGAUAACUUCAGGAAACUGGGGCUAAUACCGGAUAGGAGCUCCUGCUGCAUGGUGGGGGUUGGAAAGUUUCGGCGGUUGGGUAUGGACUCGCGGCUUAGCCGCUUGUUGGUGGGGUAGUGGCUUACCAAGGCUUUGACGGGUAGCCGGCCUGAGAGGGUGAACGGCGACAUUGGGACUGAGAUACGGCCCAGACGCGUACGGGAGGCAGCAGUGGGGAAUAUUGCACAAUGGGCGGAAGCCUGAUGCAGCAACGCCGCGUGCGGGAUGACGGCCUUCGGGUUGUAAACCGCUUUCGCCUGUGACGAAGCGUGAGUGACGGUAAUGGGUAAAGAAGCACCGGCUAACUACGUG